GAUGAACGCUGGCGGCGUGCCUAAUACAUGCCAGUCGAACGAAACUUCUUUAUCACCGAGUGCUUGCACUCACCGAUAAAGAGUUGAGUGGCGAACGGGUGAGUAACACGUGGGCAACCUGCCCAAAAGAGGGGGAUAACACUUGGAAACAGGUGCUAAUACCGCAUAACCAUAGUUACCGCAUGGUAACUAUGUAAAAGGUGGCUAUACUACCGCUUUUGGAUGGGCCCGCGGCGCAUUAGCUAGUUGGUAGGGUAAAGGCUUACCAAGGCAAUGAUGCGUAGCCGAAUUGAGAGGUUGAUCGGCCACAUUGGGACUGAGACACGGCCCAAACUCCUACGGGAGGCAGCAGUAGGGAAUCUUCCACAAUGGGCGAAAGCCUGAUGGAGCAAUGCCGCGUGGGUGAAGAAGGUCUUCGGAUCGUAAAACCCUGUUGUUAGAGAAGAAAGUGCGUGAGAGUAACUGUUCACGUUUCGACGGUAUCUAACCGGAAAGCCACGGCUAACUACGUG
rnacentral:rRNA from 1 species